AUUGAACGCUGGCGGCAGGCCUAACACAUGCAAGUCGAACGGUAACAGAAAGCAGCUUGCUGCUUUGCUGACGAGUGGCGGACGGGUGAGUAAUGUCUGGGAAACUGCCUGAUGGAGGGGGAUAACUACUGGAAACGGUAGCUAAUACCGCAUAACGUCGCAAGACCAAAGAGGGGGACCUUCGGGCCUCUUGCCAUCGGAUGUGCCCAGAUGGGAUUAGCUAGUAGGUGGGGUAACGGCUCACCUAGGCGACGAUCCCUAGCUGGUCUGAGAGGAUGACCAGCCACACUGGAACUGAGACACGGUCCAGACUCCUACGGGAGGCAGCAGUGGGGAAUAUUGCACAAUGGGCGCAAGCCUGAUGCAGCCAUGCCGCGUGUAUGGAGAAGGCCUUCGGGUUGUAAAGUACUUUCAGCGAGGAGGAAGGUGUUGUGGUUAAUAACCACAGCAAUUGACGUUACUCGCAGAAGAAGCACCGGCUAACUCCGUGCCAGCAGCCGCAGUAA
rnacentral:rRNA from 1 species